AUCAAGUCCAUUUAUUUAUAUAUUUAUUAUUAAGAUAUAUAUAUUUAUACUUCUGCGCGUAGAUUUAUCACAGAAACUUGGUAUAUUUGACUAUGGCACUUUGUCAGGUAUUUCGUAGCAGUGCUCGGCCAUAGCGAUGCUUGUAUAGUUAAAUAUGUAGUAGGCAGAAGCACGUCAGUUAUGAUGGUUCCUGGUUCCUAUAUACAAGGUCACUCACAACGUAGUCUCGUGGGGCUAUUAUUAUCAACAAUACCAAUCCACCGAUUGGUAUUGUUGAUAAUAAUAGCGGUUCGGCACAGUAGCGGCUCUUAAAUGGUGGCCGGAUAAUAUUAGACAGUAAUGGUUCCCAAAUGGUUAUAAUGGCAGUGGUUUAUUGUAUAACGAUGGCAUAUCGAUAACGGAGGUUUUGACUAACUAUGAUUGCUACCAACGCCGCCUCGAUACACAAUACUUCCUAGUUAAUGCUGUAUCCUGCUACUCCACAAAAUAAGGAAGAACUUAACCGAAUUCUAAACCACCUGGUUAUUGGAACAAAAUGAAUCAAAAUUAUUAGAUGAAAGUACAAGAUUACACAUUAAGGUAGAAUGUAGAAACCAUAGUCAAUAAUAUAGGUUUAAUUAUGAUCAUGUUCAACCAACUUAUAUAGUAUUUCAUUUACUAAAGAACAUUGCGCAGAAGGUGAGUUAGACUCAAGUGUAGAAAGUUUACUAUUAAAUAGUACAAUUUUAUCCUUUAAAUUACUUCAUUAGCAAUAGCAUUAAAACUUGAUGUCAAAAUUAUCAAGACAACUUUCAAGUCAUUACCUAAAGCUUUAUUUUCAAAAAUAAUAUUUUGCUGGUUGUUACAUAAUUCAUUUAAAAUAUAUUCAUUUGCGAAAUUAGGUACAACAGUAAUAGUAGAAUUACGCGUAGUUUUAUUUGAAACUGAAGAUUUCGAACGAGUUGGCAUGUGUGUAACUUGAAAACUUAACAUUUUUAGGAGUAUGUAAUAACAUUGUUUUAUUAAUUUUUUAAUAACUUUGUCAAUAAAUAAAAGUUGAAGUCUGGAUUUUUAAAAGAGUGGUGAUACUUUCCAAAAUAAUGAUAAGAAAAAAAUUGGCACGACUUACGUCGCAAAAAAUGUAAUCGACACUGGUUUUGAGGGUAGAGACCCGUGGGCCGUUUAUUAAUGAGCAACAACAGGUUAUUUUAACAAAAAAAUAAAACAAACCGAAAAGAUGAACACAAUAAUAAUAAUCUUCGCAUAAUAUCGCGGCACUUUCGCUGGCGUCGACGACGCGAUGUCCGGCGUGAUCUUUGGGCGUCAAAAGGUUAGCAGCGUUGAUGGCGACGUUGCGGAUCAGUUUGUCAACGUUGUCACUCUAACAACGGGAAGAAGACUCCCGUAUCAUUUGCGUAUCAUUAAAUAUUAAAAGAAAAAAAUUUAUAUUAGUAA